ACAUAUGAGGACAAUCUGACUGUGACAUCUGUCACUCAUUCAGGGCUUGAUCGGCUGAGCUGACUAGAAAGGCUGGUGUUUCCCUUUCUCCUUCACUGCUCCACCUACAUCUCUCUCCAAGGUAUAUGCUCAGUGGGAGAACUGUUCACACAGAGAGAUGAUGACUGUUCUUAGACCAAGGGUACAUGAGUGGCUACACUCCCAGACAAGCUCUCAAGGGUCAUUUGCAAGACAAUGCAGCCAAACCAAGGUUCCAAGCCUCCAGACACAGCCAAGUGGGAGGUUGCAUGCAGCAUUCUGCCUUUCAAU
rfam:Erinaceus europaeus unplaced genomic scaffold scaffold00774, whole genome shotgun sequence